UCCGUCUUGACGACGGCAGUCCCUCUGGAGUGCCCACCUUAGAUGAUGGCAACCAAAGGCAAGGGUUGCGCUCGUUGCGGGACUUAACCCAACAUUUCACAACACGAGCUGACGACAGCCAUGCAGCACCUGUCUCUGUGUCCCUUGCGGGCCUCUGAUAUCUCUACCAGAUUCACAGGAUGUCAAACCCAGGUAAGGUUCUUCGCGUUGCUUCGAAUUAAACCACAUGAUCCACCGCUUGUGCGGGCCCCCGUCAAUUCCUUUGAGUUUUAGUCUUGCGACCGUACUCCCCAGGCGGGAUACUUAUUGUGUUAACGUCGACACGGCAGGGGUCAAGACCCACCACGUCUAGUAUCCAUCGUUUACAGCGUGGACUAC
rnacentral:misc_RNA from 1 species